CGGAUGAUAUAGAUGAGGCGGAGUUUGACACGAGCAUGUAUUAUUUCAGUGAGCAUAUACCUCCUGCGAGGGAAAGCAAGAGUUUGAGCGAAGCUCACAUGAACAACAGCAAGCUGCAGAAGUGGUGCAAGAAACAGGACAAGUUACUCGCCAAGUGCUUAAGAGCUAUCAAGUUUCUGAAGGACAAGCUCAGCUGCUCCUCGUCCACUACAGCUAUUCCG
rnacentral:pre_miRNA from 1 species